UACAGAGGGGGCAAGCGUUAUUCGGAAUUAUUGGGCGUAAAGGGCGCGUAGGCGGCCAUUCAAGUGACGGGUGAAAGCCCUCGGCUUAACCGAGGAACUGCCUGUCAGACUGGAUGGCUUGAGACCGGGAGAGGUGAGUGGAAUUCCCGGUGUAGCGGUGAAAUGCGCAGAUAUCGGGAGGAACACCAAUGGCGAAGGCAGCUCGCUGGGACGGUACUGACGCUGAGACGCGAAAGCGUGGGGAGCAAACAGG
rnacentral:rRNA from 1 species